AUUUUAGUUUGCUUGCAACUGAAGAUGGCGACCGGCGCACGGGUGAGUAACACGUAUCCCUUCUGCCGAUAACUCCGGGAUAGCCUUUCGAAAGAAAGAUCAAUACCGGAUGGCAUACGAAUAUCGCAUGAUAUUUUUAUUAAAGAAUUUCGGUUAUCGAUGGGGAUGCGUUCCAUUAGUUUGUUGGCGGGGUAACGGCCCGCCAAGACUACGAUGGAUAGGGGUUCUGAGAGGAAGGUCCCCCACAUUGGAACUGAGACACGGUCCAAACUCCUACGGGAGGCAGCAGUGAGGAAUAUUGGUCAAUGGGCGAGAGCCUGAACCAGCCAAGUAGCGUGAAGGAUGAAGGCUCUAUGGGUCGUAAACUUCUUUUAUAUGGGAAUAAAGUUUUCCACGUGUGGAAUUUUGUAUGUACCAUAUGAAUAAGGAUCGGCUAACUCCGUGCCAGCAGCCGCGGUAAUACGGAGGAUCCGAGCGUUAUCCGGAUUUAUUGGGUUUAAAGGGAGCGUAGGCGGACGCUUAAGUCAGUUGUGAAAGUUUGCGGCUCAACCGUAAAAUUGCAGUUGAUACUGGGUGUCUUGAGUACAGUAGAGGCAGGCGGAAUUCGUGGUGUAGCGGUGAAAUGCUUAGAUAUCACGAAGAACUCCGAUUG
rnacentral:rRNA from 1 species